UCGAGGGAAUGGAUUNAGAGCUUGCUCUCANGAAGUUAGCGGCGGACGGGUGAGUAACACGUGGGUAACCUGCCCAUAAGACUGGGAUAACUCCGGGAAACCGGGGCUAAUACCGGAUAACAUUUUGAACUGCAUGGUUCGAAAUUGAAAGGCGGCUUCGGCUGUCACUUAUGGAUGGACCCGCGUCGCAUUAGCUAGUUGGUGAGGUAACGGCUCACCAAGGCAACGAUGCGUAGCCGACCUGAGAGGGUGAUCGGCCACACUGGGACUGAGACACGGCCCAGACUCCUACGGGAGGCAGCAGUAGGGAAUCUUCCGCAAUGGACGAAAGUCUGACGGAGCAACGCCGCGUGAGUGAUGAAGGCUUUCGGGUCGUAAAACUCUGUUGUUAGGGAAGAACAAGUGCUAGUUGAAUAAGCUGGCACCUUGACGGUACCUAACCAGAAAGCCACGGCUAACUACGGCCAGCAGCCGCGNAAACGAGGGC
rnacentral:rRNA from 1 species